rnacentral:rRNA from 1 species
GUGGGGAAUUUUGGACAAUGGGCGCAAGCCUGAUCCAGCAAUGCCGCGUGCAGGAAGAAGGCCUUCGGGUUGUAAACUGCUUUUGUACGGAACGAAACGGUCCUGGCUAAUAUCCGGGGCUAAUGACGGUACCGUAAGAAUAAGCACCGGCUAACUACGUGCCAGCAGCCGCGGUAAGACGUAGGGUGCAAGCGUUAAUCGGAAUUACUGGGCGUAAAGCGUGCGCAGGCGGUUUUGUAAGACAGGUGUGAAAUCCCCGGGCUCAACCUGGGAACUGCACUUGUGACUGCAAGGCUAGAGUGUGUCAGAGGGAGGUGGAAUUCCGCGUGUAGCAGUGAAAUGCGUAGAGAUGCGGAGGAACACCGAUGGCGAAGGCAGCCUCCUGGGAUAACACUGACGCUCAGGCACGAAAGCGUGGGGAGCAAACAGGAUUAGAUACCCCAGUAGUCC